rnacentral:lncRNA from 1 species
GGAGGAGGAGGAGGAGGAGGAGGAGGAGGAGGAGGAAGGAAGAAGGAAGAAGAAGAAGAAGAAGAAGAAGAAGAAGAAGAAGAAGAAGAAGAAGAAGAAGAAGAAGAAGAAGAAGAAGAAGAAGAGAAAAAGAAAAAAAGAAAAAAAAAGAUAGUUGUAGUUGGUACAAUCAUCAAGGCACACACACAAAACCCACUGUAGAGUCGGUUGGUCUCUAGCUCUAUGUAGUUGGGGAUGACCACAAACUUCUGAUCUUCUUGAUUCCACCCCCUCCCAACGUUGGAAGUAGGAGCCUGCUUUACCAGGCCUGAGUUAUUCAGGCGGAACCCAUGGCGUCAUGCAUUCGAGCAACUCGUGGAAGGCAGACUUUGGGCUUACAGUUGCAGAGGGAUAAGACUCCAUCUCGGUGGAGAGGCACAGCAAAUAGCCAGAGCAGGAAGCUGAGAGCUCACCUCAAUUGCAAGCACCAAGCAGAGAAAAGCUGGAAGUGGGACAAGGCUCCAGGCUCUCAGUCUCCAUCCCUACAUCCUCCUGCAAGGCUGCACCUUCUAACCCCCAACCCACAG